GACGAACGCUGGCGGCGUGCCUAAUACAUGCAAGUAGGACGCAGUUGCGAACGGGUGAGUAACGCGUAGGUAACUACCUAUUAGAGGGGGGUAACUAUUGGAAACGAUAGCUAAUACCGCAUACUAGUAGAUGGACCUGCGUGGUAUUAGGUAGUAGGUAGGGUAAUGGCCUAACUAGGCAAAGAUACAUAGCCGACCCGAGAGGGUGAUCGGCCACAACGGGACUGAGAAAAGGCCCAGACUCCUACGGGAGGCAGCAGUAGGGAAUCUUCGGCAAUUGGGGGAAACCUUACCGAGCAACGCCGCGUGAGUUAAGAAGGUUUUCGGAUUGUAAAGCUCUGUUGUUAAGGAAGCGGUACUUAACCAGAAAGGGACGGCUAACUACGUGCCAGCAGCCGCGGUAAUUC
rnacentral:rRNA from 1 species